AUUGAACGCUGGCGGCAGGCCUAACACAUGCAAGUCGAACGAGAAGCGGAGGGGUGAGCAAUGUAUGGGAAACUGCCUGACGGAGGGGGAUAACUACUGGAAACGGUAGCCAAUACCGCAUACCAUCCGUUCUGCGCUGGUUGGUUGAGCGAGUUGGUGGGGUUAAGCCUCACCUUGGCGACGCUCCCUAGCCGGGCUGAGAGGAUGACCGGCCACACAGGAAAUGAGACACGGUCCAGACUCCUACGGGAGGCAGCAGUAGGGAAUAUUACACAAUGGGCGCAAGCCUGAUGCAGCAAUGCCGCGUGAGUGAAGAAGGCUUUCGGGUCGUAAAGCACUGUUGGUAGAGAGGCGUUACUCGCACAGGAAGCAACGGCUAACUCCGUGCCAGCAGCCGCGGUAAUAC
rnacentral:rRNA from 1 species